CCUUUCCAGCUACUUGACCCUCUACUUGAAAUUCUAGACUAUAAUCAUUUUGAGCAAUCCUCCUCCAUGCAGAUUUAGCAGUAGAGCACAUAUCUCUAGCUCUUCUCAAACCAAGACCACCCAAGACUCAACUCUUAGCUAGGUUUAGAAGA